GGCAAUUAUGGUCUGUCAUUAAAUAUAUCUCUAUCGUCUACCGAAAGUGGAAUUAUAUUGUAGCUCAAAGCAUACUAAAGUUAUAAAUCGGGGUUUAAUAAAAUGAACGCGUCGAUAGAUAAAUGAUAAGUGUGUGAGUGACCACUGUUGUCUUUUAUAAAAAUCCGUUCAAUAGCUGCCUUUAUUUCAUUGCGGGAUGUGUUUUGGAACAAUAAAAUGCACGGAUUUUUCAAAUUGACAGCUGUGACACCUGUCAAAGUUUGAUUUGACAUAUUGACAAAUGUCACAUACACCCGAAAAACAUAGAAGUCAAAGAUGAAAGUAAGUUGUGUGUUGUAAAAACUAAAGGAAUUCCACCAAAAAUGUUGAUGCAAGACGGACAAGCGGGCAGGAGAAUGAUAGUGAAAUAUUUAAGAGGAUACGUACCCGGGAGCACAAACGUUUACGAUAAUAUCGUUAUCUCUAUCGCUCUUCAAUAUUGGCGCGACAGAGCCAGACUGUGUUUCAAUCGGCGUCUAGCGACGGCGAAUUUCCUGUGAGCAAUUCAGUCAGGAUAUGCUGCAAACAUACCAAGGAGCCAACAAGGAAUGUUGCUAGGCUUGCCGCGAGAGAUGUGAAAUGCCAUGACACAAACCAAUUUUAAGUGGGCAUGAUAUAUACUCAACAACAGCGGGCACUACAAGGCUCUGGCAUAGAGUACCUAGAGCAUGGAAUGAGGCUACCAUUGCAUAGUUAAAUAUGAUGUGGCUCCUUCUUGUCAUACUUUCUACAGCUGCAGAAAAAGAAAAACAAUGUAACACUGAACCAGUGAGGUGUAAUUGAACUAAAUGCCAUAAAACCAACUUGUUUGAAAUAGGUCCAGAAAAGUU
rnacentral:lncRNA from 1 species